UGUGCCUGUGAGUUGUGAGCGAGGCAGAUUUCCUCGCGUGGCCGGCACGACCUUCACCUUUGCAGAAGGCAACCGGGACCCUCAGUUGAUUCCAGUUCAAAAGUUGCUGUGGUCCUGGAAACGAGGAUUCUGGGCAAAACAAGAAAUUGGGUGACCUAUGGGCCAAUAUUGAAGACAAUAUUGAAGACCUGUGGGCCAAUAUUGGCAACAGGUGGGCCAUGUCUCUACUUGCUGUAACCAGUUUGAACUGGAAGGGGACCCACUUCACUAGAUGUUGAGCUUGUGAUAUGAAGUGGCCUUGUUGAUGAAUUGGAUGACUGCUCGAGGCAGGAGGUCUGGCUUUCCCUCCAUGAACUAGGAGCGGCCUCAGGAAUCACAUGAACAUGUUAGAUGUGCACUUUUCAAGGCCAUGGCUGGAUCUUAGAUUCAUUCUGUGACUUUACCUGAGGCUCAGUCCUGACAGCCAAUGGACUCCAUCAAUGACUGAUUAAAGCAUGAUGUUCGAUGACUAUCAAGACAGCAGCUCGAGAGCAUCUGUAGCAAAUGAAAACAACUGCUUUUGGCAGAAAUUGUCCUGUAUCCAAAUGGACAAAGCUGAAUAACUGUAUGUGGAUGGUUGUAUCAGUUCUGCUGUGUGGAGCCAGGAGCCACCGAAUUGUGGAGGUUCAUGUGGAUGGAAUGCGCCCCCGACAUACUAACUUGAUCCUGACAUUCCAAUAUAAUCCCCCUAUUCUCUAAAGGGAAAAACUAGUGUAUUUGUUAGAGACGUAAUGGAACUGUAGAGAGUACAUUCAAUCAGCUACGUAAACUGAGAAACAAAUGUCAGGUUUUCCUGGGUUCUGCCAUUGUGGUCUGUAAAAGAAGAAGUCUGAAUGGGAUGGACUGCAAUGGAAAGGAUGCACAUGUAUUAGACAAAAAACUCUUAGGAGGGGAAAACUAUGAAAUGGUUCUUAGUACUGGUAGGUGGGGAUUUGGAACAGGGCCAUGUGUGCUCAUGCGUGUCCAUAUGUGUCUAUUUCAAAGAUGGCACGAUGGAAUAUAAAAUAAGGAUUGUGUGUGUCUUGUCAUGGAGACAACCACUGUGGAGAGACAAGCAGAACCAUCCAGUGGGUGACCCUGGGUUCCUGGGGAUGAGCGGGUUGGGUCCAGUGUCUUCCUGUCCCCCAGCACGGGGUGCCGCAUGGCAGUUCCACCUACCACAGGGUCCCCUGCUGCAAUGGCCCUGGGCAGCUAGUGUUUCCAGCUGAGAUACAACUUCUCUGAGCAGUUGCUGUUCCAGCUUAGACUGUUUCUGCCCCACUUUCAGGGCUGAUGUCAUGAGCCCAAUAGAAGGGGAGCUGCAGAGGGGAGCACGACAUUGACUAUUACCAUCAUCUCCUAACUGGCUUGCCGGCUGUGUAUUUAAAGAUGUUUUUGUGUGUGCGUUGAAGACAGACUGGAAGCCAACCACCUAUCUAGGGAUUUAUACACAGGAUAAGUGUGCUAAUAAUUGUAUGCCACUGCUAUUUGAUCCAACUUCUUCUUGCUCUUUUUUUGCAUUAUUUUCAGAAAAUUAAAGAAGGAAUUAUAAAUAAAAUAAAGUGGGACUCUAGCUC